UACGGAGGGAGCUAGCGUUGUUCGGAAUUACUGGGCGUAAAGCGCGCCGUAGGCGGCUUUGUAAGAUUAGAGGUGAAAAGCCCCGGGGCUCAACCCCGGAACUGCCUUUAAGACUGCAUCGCUUGAAUCCGGGGAGAGGUGAGUGGAAUUCCGAGUGAUAGAGGUGAAAUUCGUAGAUAUUCGCAAGAACACCAGUGGCGAAGGCGGCUCACUGGCCCGGUAC
rnacentral:rRNA from 1 species